AACACAACCCAAUUACUGCAUAUAUAGCUUUAGCUUUAUGAUGUAUUAAAAUAAUAAAGCUGCAAACUGAUUUACUGUGGAUAUCUUUUAUUCUUUUGCAGCCUAGGAAUAUUAUGUGGGUACUUUCACUGCCAGAUUUUUCCUUUGAUAAAGAUAUUAAAACUUACAUGGAUAAGCUUAAUACCAUAAAGCAAGGAAUAAAAGAUUUACAGAACAUAAAGAGGGAGAAAAUGAUGAAGAUUCAGAGAGAUAUCCAAAACUUAUGUGAAGAGAUAACUGAGAGCAUCCUUUGUGAUGAAUUUACUGAAGUUGAGCCAACUGACCUGUCCACCAAGAAGUUUCAAGAUUAUCUAUCAAUCCUUGCUUCAAUCCUUGUUACCAAAAUAUAUAUGCUUUCAGUUGUUUGUAAUUUUUGCAUAUUGUGGUUGUCUCACAAUAUUCAUGUUUAUCACACAUAAGUGAACUUUACCUUUUUAACAUUUUUUAUUUCAUUUCUGAUUGGAUUUUCAGUCUAUGAUAUAUAAUUUUAUUUUACUUUAACCUUUGCAGCUCCAAGAGUUAGCUUUUCAGUUAAAUUUUCAUUGGAAUCUAAUGGAUAUUCCACCAGAGAAAAGGAAACUGUUUGACCAUGUUACUUGUAAUAUCUCAGCUUCUGCGGAUGAAGUCUCUCUUCUUGAAGGUGCCCUUGCUAUGGAUCUGAUUGAGAAGGUUGAAGUGGUAGUUAAGAGACUUGACCAGCUUUAUGCGAGCUGGAUUGCUUUCAAGAGGCAAGCAGAACUCAAUAUGGAUGGAGGCUUUACAAGAGAAUGCUAAGGCAUUUGUUGAUUCUGGAGAAACUGAAACAACUGAGUUAUUUGUCGACCCGGCCAAUCUAAUAGCGAAGCAGAAAGAAGAAAAACACAAUAUUGAGGGACCUGACGAAAUUUCAGUAGAAACAACGACUAUGGAACCAAAAAACGGAAUCAGAAUCAGAGGAUAUAAGCAGGUCCAUACCAAAAGUUAGAUAAAGAGAUAAUACCAGAAACUGGAUUCCAUGUUUCUGUGCUACAUGUAUGUAUCCCAGCAACAGCAUUACCCUAAUGAUAGUUUAUCUUUGUUGCAUUGUCAUGUACAUCUGAGUUGUGUAUGAUAUAUUAUUUUCCAUUUGGAAAUAUUAAGUGGUAGUUGUUCUUUUUCUUCUUCCAAAUCUUAGCUUCUGUUAAUUGGUUGUGACCAUAGAUGUAGUUAAAUAGUGUUUGUGACCAUUAUUACCACAAAACAAAC